GUCUACGGCCAUACCACCCUGAACGCGCCCGAUCUUGUCUGAUCUCGGAAGCUAAGCAGGGUCGGGCCUGGUUAGUACUUGGAUGGGAGAACUAUAGCUGUGAAGUAGGAGAUUGUAACUC
rnacentral:rRNA from 1 species